rnacentral:tRNA from 1 species
GGGGAUGUAGCUUAGUGAUAGAGCGCACGCUCCGGGUGUGUGAGGCCCCGGGUUCAAUCUCUGGUAUCCACA